UGCACGCUCCUUAGAUCCAUCUCUGAUACUCUUAAGAGAUGCUUGAGUCAUAAGUGUGCUAGAUUACGAUACCUCCAGUAAUUGACUUAAUUGGUGAUGUUUCUUUCUAUAAGCAUUCACCAGUUAUUUAUUGGGGAACAG
rnacentral:snoRNA from 14 species